UACGUAGAAGACUAGUGUUAGUCAUCUUUAUUAGGUUUAAAGGGUACCUAGACGGUAAAUUUAAACCUGUUAAGGGAAUUUUUUACUAGAGUUUUAUAGGAGAAGGUAGAAUUCUUGGAGUAGUGAUAAAAUAUAUUAAUACCAAGGAGACAGGUAACGGCGAAGGCGACCUUAUAUGUAAAAACUGGCGUUGAGGGACGAAGGCUUGGGUAUCGAGAAGGA
rnacentral:rRNA from 1 species